CCGAACCCUAACGGUUGGGUGACGUGGCUGGCGCACCAGACUGUCCGGUGCGCCCAUCGACAGCAGCCCAACCCCAACGGUUGUUUGGUGGUUGAGGGCUAUAAAUACCCCUCAACCACCUCCACUCCAACCAUCCAAGCAUUCAUUGUAACACCCCACUGGUCACACACAAUGGAUAAUACCACAAACCCCACCCACCAAACUUACUCAACACAAGAGAAGUAAUAAAGAAAGAAUAUAUAGCAAAAUCCGGCAGCACCUCCUUUGAAAACUAGCAUAACAAGGAGGGGAAUCAUGAAGCUCAUACAAGAUAUAAAGACAUAUAAUUCACAUAGUAGAAACUGAAAUGCAAUAGUGGCAAAACUUAAUUAUGACCCAACUGAAGCAAAACAAAUGGGAUAAGAAACUCAGCCCACCCCAAAAUAAACGCUCAACCAAGAACAAAGCAAUUCACUAGACUUGUCCAACUCUGAUUAACAACAUUAUUAAAUGGUGGUUCCUUUAUUAAAGGUGUAGUGGCCGUGCUGCUACAUCCCUCUAUUCCCAAAUCAAAAAUUAGGUGCCUGCAUCAAACAAUGCAAGAUGUGAGAUAACACAUCUCAGCAAGUAAACAUAACAACAACAAAUAGGACAUUGUAAAUCAACUGUGCUUACACAACCACGUGUUCAGGACUUCUUUCUUUUCUUUUGAACAGUAAAUUGCAGCAAGUAAACAAGUAACUAAAAGCUCAACGCCAAGUAGAAUCACCAUGCACAAGUCCAAAUUAUCCACAUCCACAUAAUAGAUUCAACACCUCUCCCAUGAAUGCACAUGGCUACAAAUGCAAUAAUGACUUCUGCCUCCAUAUCUCUAAGGAUAUGAAGCUGCACCAUACCCCUUCUCGGGCAACAUAUGAUGCUCAAUGUACCGAUACGGUCGGACCAUAAGAUCGCGACGAAACUUCAAUGCAAUGGAUGAUGAGUGCAUUAUGCAUGACAACCUCAUGAGUUCUUCCCAAAUAAAAAUGUGCUAGGCAUUUACUUCCACCCAUUCCACAGAAUAACCACUUGAGUAACAUAAUCAAACCUCAAACUCAACAUAUGAAAUUCAUGAAACAUGAACAUUUUCAAAUGAUGGUACUCAAAAGAAACUAUGAAUUUGAACAUAAUAGCACAACAUAAACAAGUAUAAGACUCCUCAUCUGACAGACGGAAUAACCAUCACAGUUUUACUUGCCUUCACCGGAAGUUUGGGCAAAUCCCUAAGAACGAUCUGGGAGUCCACCACCUGUUUUUGACACCCAACUUAGUGCACCAAAUUCACAUAAAAACUCAAAACAACGCCGCACCUACGCGCAAUCUCCAACCCCGCCGCGGGUAACAAUUCUCCCCACACCAACCAAACUGCAGCGGCGCUGCUUAACAAUUCCAUAACUUUAAAAUUAAGACAGCAGUGGUGUCAAACAAAAACUCCAGAGGCAACUACAUAAAAUUCCCCACAAGUUUUGUAUACAACUUAUGAUUAAAUUCUAACAUCUAAUUACCCCUAAACGGUCCACAAAAUAAACCCUGCAAUCUGUUUUUUUUUCUGUUUUGGGCAGCGACAUACUCGGAUUCAAAAAGCGAUAACUUUUAAAAUAUAAUUCCGAAUCAAGCGCAUAAGUACUUGUUGGAAAGAUAAGAAAGAGCCCUUCAUGAUUCUUAUACUGAUUAACCCUAAUUACUCCCGAAAAAUCCCCAGAAACUGCUAAUACUGCUGCUAUUCAUCCCCCUGAAAAUCUGUUUUUUGGACAGCCACAUACCCGGAUUCAAACGGUGAUAACUUUCAAUUUAUAACUCCAAAUUGAGCGCAUAAAUACUCGUUGGAAAGGUAAGACAAAGUUCUACAUGAUCCCCAAACUGAUUUCCCUUAAUUUCUCACGAAAAAACACAGAACUGCUAGAACUACUGCUGUUCAUCCACCACCUAAAAUUCUGGACAGCCCCCUCUACCCAAUCGCAAACGCAACUUCUAAUCAAUUAAAUUGCAGCGCAAAUGAACAAGGGAUGAACACAAAAAUCACCUUGGAUUCUCCCCCUUUCCUUCCUCCCUUCUUCCCUCCACCAAAACGAUUGAAGACUCGCACCACGCGACGAUGAUCCGAGCGGCAAGGAUUGGCACCUUGGGAGGAGGGGAUUGAGGGGGGGGGGCGGCUAGGGUUUGGUGGCUGCAACAAUGGAGAGAGGAGGAUAUGGGCAGGGGGGCGGCGGCCAAGGGGAAAGAAGUGGGG
rnacentral:lncRNA from 1 species